GGUUCUAUGGUGUAAUGGUUAGCACUCUGGGUUCUGAAUCCAGCGAACUGAGCUCAAAUCUCGGUUAGGACCU